rnacentral:rRNA from 1 species
CAGGCCUAACACAUGCAAGUCGAACGGUAACAGGGAAGAGCUUGCUCUUUUGCUGACGAGUGGCGCACGGGUGCGUAACGCGUAUACAAUCUACCUUUUACAGGAGGAUAGCCUUUAGAAAUGAAGAUUAAUAUUCCAUAGUAAGUUGCCUUGGCAUCGAGAUAACUUUAAAGUUUCGGCGGUAAAAGAUGAGUAUGCGUUCUAUUAGCUAGAUGGUGUGGUAACGGCACACCAUGGCGACGAUAGAUAGGGGCCCUGAGAGGGGGAUCCCCCACACUGGUACUGAGACACGGACCAGACUCCUACGGGAGGCAGCAGUGAGGAAUAUUGGACAAUGGGCGAGAGCCUGAUCCAGCCAUGCCGCGUGCAGGAAGACUGCCCUAUGGGUUGUAAACUGCCUUUAUACGGGAAGAAACCUAGUCACGUGUGACUAGCUGACGGUACCGUAAGAAUAAGGAUCGGCUAACUCCGUGCCAGCGGCCGCGGUAAUACGGAGGAUCCAAGCGUUAUCCGGAAUCAUUGGGUUUAAAGGGUCCGUAAGUGGAUAAUUAAGUCAGGGGGUGAAAGUCUGCAGCUCAACUGUAGAAUUGCCCUUGAUACUGGUUAUCUUGAAUUUAUUGUGAAGUGGUUAGAAUAUGUAGUGUAGCGGGUGAAAUGCAUAGAUAUUACAUAGAAUACCAAUUGCGAAGGCAGAUCACUAACAAUAUAUUGACACUGAUGGACGAAAGCGUGGGGAGCGAACAGGAUUAGAUACCCUGGUAGUCCACGCCGUAAACGAUGGUCACUAGCUGUUCGGACUUCGGUUUGAGUGGCUAAGAGAAAUUGAUAAGUGACCCACCUGGGGAGUACGUUCGCAAGAAUGAAACUCAAAGGAAUUGACGGGGGCCCGCACAAGCGGUGGAGCAUGUGGUUUAAUUCGAUGAUACGCGAGGAACCUUACCAGGGCUUAAAUGUAGAUUGCAUUAGGUAGAGAUACUUAUUUCUUCGGACUAUCUACAAGGUGCUGCAUGGUUGUCGUCAGCUCGUGCCGUGAGGUGU